CCUCUUCUUUCCCAAUUUUAUUUUUAUAUAUAAAUAUGGUCUGCCACAUCCUUUUCUUUUCACCACCUCUUUCUCCACAUACCAGUUCUUCCCAUCCACCUCCACCGCUUCAUCCUCCCUGAUUUAUGAAACUCCUAAGCAGAUCCUUCUAACAUGAUGAAACUCCUGAGUAGUUAUACUAAACUUUAACCUUCAUACUCACUCUUUCCCACAACCAACCUCUAUCUUCAAAUUAAUCAGAAUUCAAAAACCCUCUCUCUAGAUCUUAAGCCACAGAAAGAUCAACUUCAAAAAAAAACACAUAUGUGUGUGUAAAUGGAUAGUCUGAGAGAGAGAGUCGGAGAGGCACGACAGCCAGCCACCAUCACAGAGCGACGGCGGAGACCUGGGUUCUUUCCUUUCUCAAAAUGGGUUCUUUAACCCAUUGUGGCUACUGAGAUUCCACAGAUCUAUUGCUUGUCUUCUUAUAAUGGUAUAGAUGCAUACCAAGUUAAAAUUAAAAAUCGAAUGAAAAGAACAGUCUUCAUGCCAAGGUUUGUUUUUAUUGGUUUGGAUGGUUAUCCCUCAUUAAUACGCGUGUCUUCUGGUGUACGCUUAACCCCCUCUUUUGAGGGUUUGUUUGCUGAUCCCUCUCUUCACCUCGCCUCCUCUCGACCGCCGGAACUGCUGCCGAUGAGCACACCGACGCCGUUGUUUCCCGUGAGCAGUGGUUUCCAGACGAACAUGGAUGGUUGCGACGUUGGCAUCUCCGGUUUCAACAUCGGCUGUCGAUUGUGGUGACGGUGACCGGUUGUCUAUGAUGAGUUCUAAACUUUUAUCCUGGGGUUCUUUCUUUGCUUGGCUGUGAUGAGUAAAAUUAAAAACCAAAUGAAAUGAACAGUUAUCAGGGUAGUUUAGGAACUUUACAUUCUCACACAAAGGCAGGACGGUGCCGUCAAGGCCAGUCAUAAGGCAGUUGAUGGUAGCAACAGGGCGUUGUCUAGACGUGGUGGUGGCGGCAAGGGGGAGGAGGAGGUGGUCUGUUGUCUGAUUGUGGCGGUUGAAUUUGUGAGGGGUGAUGGUUUCCGUCAGAAUAUUAGGGCUCCAAUAGGUAGCUUUAGGUUAAUCUUUUCAGAUUUGAAUGUUCAUUUGGCUGUUCAGCUGGUGGGUACGCUUACAGUAACAAGAUGGAGGCGGCGCGCAAACGGUUGUGACAGGUCUCUGUUUGACUCCGAACUCCAGUGAAGCUCCGAUGAAUUCUCCGGUGACUGAUAUGGUUGUUGUUGUUUGGGAAGCAACGGAGAGUGAAAGGGCAAAGUCGGAUGGCGGAGUUACCGCGAUGCUUUGACAAUAACCUCACUCCAGUGACGGCGACAUACACUUUUUUAGGCGUUAAUGAAAUGUUUCCGCCAAGACUUACCUUUGUUGGUCUUAUUGUGAUUUAAGCUUCAGAAUCAAUUUGAAGUGUUUCAUCUCAGUAAAUCAAUUUUAGCAGCUAUCUGGUUAUGCUUUUUAUAAGGUUUCUUGAGCUAAUUUCGAUCAGUGUAUUGAUGAGCCAGUUAUGAAGCAUGGACUAUUUUAGUACCUGAGUACAAAAAUCAUUUUUAUACGAGGGAUUCUAUUCAUAUUCUGAUCCACCAAAAAAAGGUCAGGCUACGGAUUCAUGGAGUUAAGCUUGAUUUGCUGAAGCCUUCUCUUUUGUCCACUUAGCAGUCUUGAACUAAAAUCGCCUAAUGCAUUCAUUCCUUUUUACAAAUCAUCCUUCAAGCAAAAACACAUCAAUGACUCCCUACUAACUGCGUAUAUAAGCAGCUUUAUGGAUUAAGGGGGUGUUUGGCCUAGUUUUUAUUUUUUGGCUUAUGCUUAUAUUUUAAAUUAGCUUAUAGCUUAUUUUCUAUCAUUUGAUAAGCUCUUUUUAAUGUGUUUGGAUUAGCUUAUAGCUUAUUUAUAUCAUUUGCCCUUACACAAA